AAGAGCAGUCAGCCAGACUGCCUUUGCCACAGGGAAAGUACCCACUCUUCUGCUGGAAAAUAUUCAUAGAGCAGAGGGAAUAAUCAAAAGAGCACCACUUGGGGUACAAUGUUCUUCUGCCUAUCUAAAGGAAGAUGGUCAGGUCAUUUUCUAAAUUUGUAUGUAACUGCAGAGCUGAGAAGAUUUACUGAACUCAGAAUCUGGAAGAUAAACACUCAGGACCUUCAGGCUCAAAGGCUAUUUGGCAGUUAUAUGCAAAAUGGAAGGGGUGUGAACACAACAGCAACCUCUACCUUGUUGAUACACCUACUCACCCCUCAAGAGGAAGGCAGUGCUUAAGUGUCUCAGACUGAAGGGUUAGCUGGCCACAGGACUCCCACACUCUGGAAAGAAGACCUGCCUAAGCAAUUGUUAAAGACAGCUGUGCAUCUGUAUGUGUGAAACCUUUGCAAUAUAUGCAAAAAGAAAUUGUGUGAAAAGGACUCACAUCACAUGGAUGAGGUACAGUAAAAUUCUUAUCAAGACCCACAGUGAGAAUAACUAAUUACAUUCCUGAAUUUGGGCAGUGAAAGGAAUGGUGCUCAAGACAGGGAUGAGUUGAUGCAAGCAAGGGAAGGACAUGAAGGACUGUUGGCAACAGUGGUAUCCAGGCCACACCUCCUAUGCAGCCACAUCUCUGGGUUGAAUGAUACAGUCAACGCAGAUGAAGUUCUCUACUUAAUGAAGUCCUGGCUUCUACAGGUGAACCGGAUGUCACUGAUUUUUCUUCACAAGUGAGUUUGUACCAAUUUUCUACAUGCAUAAAAUGUGAAGGAUAUUUGACUGCCUGAAUUGCUUCAAAAAAUAAUAGAAUACAUCUGACGGAGUUAGUCUGUGUUUUUCUGUUUAUAUACUUCUGCGUUUCAAAUUUUAGAAAUGUGAUGAGGUUGGACAACAUUAUUUCAAAAUACUAUUGAUUCUUUAAAUCAGUUUCUACGUUUUUGGGGUUUUUUUGUAGUAGGAAAAAUACUGAAAUUUAUACUCUGUUCAUAUUGUCAUUUUUAUUGCAAACUUUGACACAGAACUUCUACACAGGUAACAGAUAUCACACAGGAAAUGGGAGUAAUGCUUCCUGCCUGGACAUUUCAGCAGACCUUCUUUUUUUUUUGCUUUUAAAUUUUGUGUAAGAAGGCAGAAGUACUAUGCAGAUGGCCUUCUGCUCAGUUGUAGUAAUCACCCAAGCUUGUCAGGCAGUGUUGGGAAGGAAGUCAGGUAGGUAGAGAAGUGGCUUGAUAUCACUUCCCUUGUACUUCUUUUCUUAGACAACACAUCUACAAAUUAUUUAGAAGACCUAAGAAGUACUUAUAAUUUGGUCAAACCUGACUAAAGCAGAAUCUUGUUGCAUAGAAAUAAAUAAUACCCUGUAACUGAAGACAGAAUUAUGUUAAAUCAUAACAACUAAGCCCACUGAAUAAAGUUAUGCUAAUAUUAUGAAAUCUUUCUGGUAAAAACCAUGUCUUUAUAGGAGUUCGUUCAUUAAAUAAGCACCAGAUGUCAUAUCACAUGAAAAACAUUCUAACACUGAUGUUUGUUAUAGAUACCUGUUUUGAUUAAUAUUUCCUCCCUGACUAUUCCCCUUUUUCCUCCAGUUCUCUUCUUUUUCUACUCCUCAAAGAGAAUAUUCCAAGUAUUCCUCUGGGUAGAUUCUGUGGCCAGCAGUCUAAAAGAUUAACAUACAAACAGCCAGAACAAAAGCAUUGCUACCAUUGCUACUUAAUUACAGCUCAUUUACUCCCGGUUUCUCAUCUUGCAUUCAUUGCAGUGCAGAAACCAAGCAGUCAGAAGAACAGAGACUCUUUAAUACAUCAGGCUCAUGCACUUUCCUUUUCCAGUUUUAGUCUCUGUCCUUUAGAAAUAACUUUGAAGCAGUAGCUUUGAUGCAGAUCAAAGUGAAGACUAUUGCACAAGCCUCAGAAGUAUUAGGUUCCCAGCAUUCCUUCUCCAUUUUUGCAAAUUUUUGCAGAUUUUUGCAGAUUUUUGCAGAGCUUCAAUCAACGACUUUUUUGCUGAAGGAAGAAGGACUCGUGUUUACAAGUAUAUUGAGAACAAGUUACACAUAGUAAUUUGCACAAACUAUUUCACACUACAGAGUUUCACUUAGUUAUCCAUAUUCAAGCAUUCACUAUGAUUGUGUUCUUCUUCUUCCUAGGAUCUCUGCACAUAUUUCUCUCCUAUUACCAUUACAGAUUGGUUUACUGAAUUGUGAAGUUAGUGCAAUCUUCCGGAAGGCUACAUUCUCCUUAACAUUACCAUGUACUAAUUAAUUGCUCUUCAAAGCCUAUAGGUUUCUGUUGCUUUAAAGGAAUUGGUAGAUUGCACAAUGUUCUCACACAGAAUUUAAAGCAGGAAAAAGUGGGGAAGCGAAGGUAAACUGCAACAUACCAAGAUAAGGCAUUACCAUCCAUGGAGACCUGUAUACAUAAUGCAUGUGUUAAGGAAGAUGAUAAAAUACAAGAUUUGUCUGGAGACUUAUACUCAAGGGUAUAAGGACACUGAGACAAGGAGAAGGCUGAGACUGUAUUCUGAAGAUGUUCUUAUCAAUUGGUCACCUAGAAAUAAGGAUUUUUCUUUAAAACAACAAGCAGCUUUGGUUUGUUGCAUGCUUUCAUAGGAUAUGCAAUGCUUAUACUACUAUUGAUACUGAAGCAACCUUGUAUAGUUACUGGCAAACAUUUGGUUCUCAUUACACUCACAAAACUCCCCAUGUUUAAUCCUUUCCACAGCAAGGAAAAGACCUUAGUUUUCAUUAUACUCAAAUUUCUUUUGAAGUAUUUUCUCAUGUGCAGUGUUGUCUGAAAUCACAGCUUCAGCAAAGUCCUCCUUAACAGAGGAUGUUAAGUAAGAUGCCAAAACAUGUGUUUGCAUAAACUUCACCUGCUAGAAUUGCAUGACUUAGAGGUUAUGGAUCAGAAGAACAAAAUACUUCUCUUUAAUAAAGGAUGGUGAAAAUUCA